CUCUCCUUUUUUUUGUUUGUUUGUUUGGAUCCUUGGAUCCAGAUGGGAACUACUAGCCCCUCAUCGCUGGCUCACCUCGGUCACUGCUGGAGCAUGUUCUCAUCGAAAAUAGAUCCAAUUGGUGAGAGGGAAGGGAGAAGAUGUGACUCUGAAGUGGAUUAUGGAUCAGAGGAGCACGCAAAACUUGUCUAUGCAGCAUUAGAAACUGACAAGGAGGUCUGGAAAUUACACAAGUUAUUGUUCGUUGUUUCUUCGAUAUUUAGUUCAUCAACCAAAGCAUAUUUGCUUUUGAAAUGGGAAGUACACAUCUUACUUAGCCUUUAAAAAGGUCUAUAGGGACCAUGACAAACAGACCUCAAGCUUGUUUAACAUGGACUUUUUAACUUCUAACUACAGUUGCAGCCAGACAAGGUUAAGAGGCGGUGGUGACUGGAUUUCUGCAUGCUUCAUGAUACUUGCCACACAAAUCAUUAGCGAAUAUGGGCAGAACAACAAAGACUCCUAAAUAGACACAAAUCUUUUGUCGUACAACAUCUAUAUAAGUGGAACAGAAUCUUGUAUUGGUGCUGUAACCAAAAGUCAGUAUUAAUAUUAUUGUGCAUUGUUUGUUAAAUCACAAUGUCUAGUUGAACUUUGGUUUGCA